CCUACGGGAGGCAGCAGUGGGGAAUAUUGCACAAUGGGGGAAACCCUGAUGCAGCGACGCCGCGUGAGUGAAGAAGUAAUUCGUUAUGUAAAGCUCUAUUAGCAGGGAAGAAAAUGACGGUACGUGAGUAAGAAUCCCCGGCUAACUACGUGCCAGCAGCCGCGGUAAUACGUAGGGGGCAAGCGUUAUCCGGAUUUACUGGGUGGAAAGGGAGCGUAGACGGCAGUGCAAGUCUGGAGUGAAAGGCGGGGGCUCAACCCCCGGACUGCUUUGGAAACUGUACGGCUAGAGUGCAGUAGAGGUAAGUGGAAUGCAUAGUGUAGCGGUGAAAUGCGUAGAUAUUAGGAGGAACACCAGUGGCGAAGGCGGCUUACUGGACUAUAACUGACGUUGAGGCUCGAAAGCGUGGGGAGCAAACAGGAUUAGAUACCCUUGUAGUC
rnacentral:rRNA from 1 species